CAGCCGCGUAAUUCCAGCUCCAAUAGCGUAUAUUAAAGUUGUUGCAGUUAAAAAGCUCGUAGUUGAAUUUCGGGAUCAAUAUAUCGGUCGUGCCUUGGUACGUACUGGUAUCAUUGGUUUCUCCUUUCUGACGAACCAUGAUGUCAUUCAUUUGGUGUUAUGGGAAGUUAGGACUGUUCCUUUGAAAAAAUUAGAGUGUUUAAAGCAGGCUUUAGCUUGAAUACAUUAGCAUGGAAUAAUGAAAUAGGACGUUCGAACCUAUUUUGUUGGUUUCUAGGAUCAACGUAAUGAUUAAUAGGGAUAGUGGGGGGCAUUAGUAUUCAAUUGUCAGAGGUGAAAUUCUUGGAUUGAUUGAAGACUAACUACUGCGAAAGCAUUUGCCAAGGAUGUUUUCAUUAAUCAAGAACGAAAGUUAGGGGAUCGAAGACGAUCAGAUACCGUCGUAGUCUUAACCAUAAACUAUGCCGACUAGGGAUCGGAUGAUGUUAAUUUUUUAAUGACUCAUUCGGCGCCUUACG
rnacentral:misc_RNA from 1 species